UCUAACUGCUUCCUUCAUCUUACUCAGGUUGUUGUUUUGUUUUCUUUUGUUUCGUUUCUUCGUUCUUUGAUUCAUCAUCAUCAUCAUCGUCAUCAUCGUGGAUUUCACUUCCAUAAGGGUUCCAGCAUCUGCUAUAGCUAGGUGGUGGAAUUAACAAUGACCCUUAAGGGCGGCACAACCCAAGCAUGUGCAGCAUGCAAACACCAGAGAAGAAAGUGCACUUCUGAGUGCCUUCUUGCACCAUUUUUCCCUGCAGACCAACCUAAGGUGUUUCUCAAUGUUCACAAGCUUUUUGGAGUGAGCAACAUUGUAAAGAUAUUGAAGAUAUUGGAGCCUAGUCAGAAGAAAAUAGCCAUGGACUCUAUCAUCAUUCAAGCAAAUUAUAGAGAUAAGUAUCCUGUGCAUGGCUGUUGGGAAGAGAUUUGUAGGCUACAAUACCAAAUAUGGGUUAUGGAAGAAGAGCUUCAUGCAGUGUAUCAACAGCUUGAAAUAUGUAGACAACAACACCAUCAAGGUCCUUCUAUGCACGAUGAUGUGGCUUCACAAUUAGAAUUGGGCAUGACACCUCGUACUAGUAAUGCAUUACCAUUAUUUAAUCAUCAUACUCCACAACCACAACCACAACCCCACACUUACAACACUGUGGCUUUGUCUGUGUCACAACAACAACAACAUUCCUACUCCAACAGCAACAGUGUGGAUUAUAAUUCUCUCUACUUGGACUCCAAGGAUAAUACAACAAAUCCUUUGUGGGUUCAGUAUUCCUAUGCAAAUAAUAAUAGCAAUUCUGUAGGAAUGGACACUCAGUUCUCCUCACAGCCACUGGCCAUUCAACAAAAUGUUGUUGAAGAUUAUGAUGAGAUUCAUCCAAUUUUUGAUUCAGUUGAUGAUAGACAAUCAUACAUUUAUUCCAAGGAGGCUUAUGAGUCAAGUUCAGAAGAGUCACUGAAAGAUAUGAGAAAGUGCACUGAUCAUGUUUCUGAGAAUGAAUUGAAGAGUGCCGCUGCAUGCUUCAGCCUUACCAGUGUCAACUGAUCAGCAAGCUGUCCCCUCUCCCCUCCACAUAAAAAAAGAUGUACUAGGUUUCCUUUUUGGGUUCUUUUAUUCUUGGACUAUAGGGUGGAGAGGUGGGGUACAUGCGACGCUUAAGUCAGGAAGGUGACUAAGAAUACAAGUGAUAUGUGAGAAUAAUAUGAGAGAGCAUAAAGAAAAAAAGUGUUUUACCUAAAGAGUUUUGCUCCUAUAUAAACAACUUAGAACUCAUCUUUAAUUAAGUGAUUUUGAUCGAUAGUCUUUCAGCUAUAUCAAUGUUGAAGGGUUGGGCAAGUACUUAUCGACCCUACGGGUACAAUAUCUAUACUUUUCUCUCUUUUCUCUCUCUCAGUCUCUAACUGUGUUAUCUAAUAGCAUUUGGGUUUUCUAAAAAUCAUUCAUCCUUUGAAUAUGUAAAGUAACAACCCUGUUAACUUUUACAAUCACCUUUACAUGUGACUUUUUCUUUCUCCCCUUAUUAUCUUUCUCUUUUUUUCAAAGGUUUGAGGCGUAUAUAAACACCAUUUUUGGUGAAGUAGUUAUCGGUCUUCAUUUUUUGUCAACAUAUAAAUGCUAAGCUUAGCAUUUCUUUUUGGUGGUAUACAUCAUCAGAAUUGGUUUAGCAAAAAUAGGCAAAUUAACAUUUGUAGCAAAAUAUGGAUCAACACAGUCCUCGAUUUCUUUUUAGGUUAGGGGCAAGGUAAGGAAGGAU